rnacentral:rRNA from 1 species
UACGGAGGGUGCAAGCGUUAUCCGGAUUUACUGGGUUUAAAGGGUGCGUAGGUGGGUCUGUAAGUCAGUGGCGAAAUCUCCGAGCUUAACUCGGAAACUGCCAUUGAUACUAUAGGUCUUGAAUUAUCUGGAGGUGAGCGGAAUAUGUCAUGUAGCGGUGAAAUGCUUAGAUAUGACAUAGAACACCAAUUGCGAAGGCAGCUCACUACGGAUAUAUUGACACUGAGGCACGAAAGCGUGGGGAUCAAACAGG